GGGGUUGUGGCUCAGUGGUAGAGUGCUCACCUAGCAUGUGUGAGGCAAUGGUUUCGAUCCUCAGCACCA
rnacentral:tRNA from 1 species